rnacentral:misc_RNA from 1 species
GAUGAAGAACGUAGCGAAAUGCGAUACGUAAUGUGAAUUGCAGAAUUCAGUGAAUCAUCGAGUCUUUGAACGCACAUUGCGCCUCCUGGUAUUCCGGGGGGCAUGCCUGUCCGAGCGUCAUUGCUGCCCUCAAGCACGGCUUGUGUGUUGGGCCUCCGUCCUCCUCCCGGGGGACGGGCCCGAAAGGCAGCGGCGGCACCGCGUCCGGUCCUCGAGCGUAUGGGGCUUCGUCACCCGCUCUUGUAGGCCCGGCCGGCGCUUGCCGACACAUCAAUCUUUUUUCCAGGUUGACCUCGGAUCAGGUAGGGAUACCCGCUGAACUUAAGCAUAUCAAUAAGCGGAGGA